rnacentral:tRNA from 1 species
UAGCUCAGCUGGAUAGAGCACCAGACUACGAAUCUGGGGGUCGGGAGUUCGAAUCU